rfam:Tribolium castaneum strain Georgia GA2 linkage group LG5, whole genome shotgun sequence.
UGGACCUACGAUACGUACGCUCAAGCUUAACAUAACGGGCGUAUCACACUCAGGUCCUAGAACGAAUUGCUCUCUGAUGACUUUGGUUUGUCGAGCUUUGAACCAAGGACAGAUACGGGGCAUACAUUU